UACGGAGGGAGCUAGCGUUGUUCGGAAUCACUGGGCGUAAAGGGAGCGUAGGCGGGCUUCUAAGUUAGAUGUUUAAUCCCGGGGCCCAACCCCGGACAGGCACCUAAAACUGGAAGUCUUGAAUAGUGGAGAGGACGGCGGAAUUGGGGGUGUAGCGGUGGAAUGCGUAGAGAUCCCCAAGAACACCAGUUGCGAAGGCGGCCGUCUGGACACAUAUUGACGCUGAGGCUCGAAAGCAUGGGGAGCAAACAGG
rnacentral:rRNA from 1 species